ensembl:lncRNA
GGCAGGUUAAGAUCUGCCUCUGACUGAGCAAACAAUUUCAGCCCCAAACCUUCUCUCUUCAUUCACCUGCCAUAUUGCCACAUUGCUCAUCGGCCCUUAUCUUCCUGUGGAGAGAUACUACAUACGGCAUUGCUACAGUUCUAAUUAGUGCCUGCUCCUAGAAGAUUGCGUUUUAAGGAGCUAGGCUCAGGCAUGCUCAGUGUGUCCUGGAAGAACCGAAAGGAGAGUUUGACAGCUACAGAUUCAUCUACAGCUCUGGCUCGGAUCAUGUUCAUCAUCAUACAUGAGUGGUGGUAGUUAUCAUAUAUGAUCAAUGGACAUGGAAAUAAUGGAACGCAAAUUUGGGGGAUUAUAUGACUAUAUCGACAAGGUUGUAUAUACGACAUACUAUACUAUAUGGUUAAAAGUUUGACACUUGACCUUCACACCAAUAUGUGGUUCUUCCUCAAACUAUUGCCACAAAGUUGUUGCGCACACACGUAUACAGUAGAAUGUCUUCGUAUGCCGGAGCUUUAUAGUUUUCCUCCACUGGAACUAAGAGACCGGAACCUGUUCCAACACGACGACGCCCCUGUGCACAAGGCGAGCUCCAUGAAGACAUGGUGUGUUAGGUUUGGAGUGGAAGAA